rnacentral:rRNA from 1 species
GAUGAACGCUGGCGGCGUGCUUAACACAUGCAAGUCGAACGGAAAGGCCCAAGCUUGCUUGGGUACUCGAGUGGCGAACGGGUGAGUAACACGUGGGUGAUCUGCCCUGCACUUCGGGAUAAGCCUGGGAAACUGGGUCUAAUACCGGAUAGGACCACAUUUUGGAUGGUGUGGUGGAAGGUUUUUCGGUGUGGGAUGAGCUCGCGGCCUAUCAGCUUGUUGGUGGGGUAAUGGCCUACCAAGGCGUCGACGGGUAGCCGGCCUGAGAGGGUGUACGGCCACAUUGGGACUGAGAUACGGCCCAGACUCCUACGGGAGGCAGCAGUGGGGAAUAUUGCACAAUGGGCGGAAGCCUGAUGCAGCGACGCCGCGUGGGGGAUGACGGCCUUCGGGUUGUAAACUCCUUUCGCUAGGGACGAAGCGCAAGUGACGGUACCUGGAGAAGAAGCACCGGCUAACUACGUG